rnacentral:lncRNA from 1 species
GGGCUGUCCCCUCUUCCCGGGCCACGUCAGCCAGGCCCGCGUGAUUUGGAGAGGAAGAGAGGACCAGCUUGGUUCCUCAGAACUGCUGCUUCCUCGCUUUCCGGCUUACCCUCUGCUGUGGGGCCCUACGCCUUUAAAUGCAAGGAUAGGACCUGAGAUGGCCUGGCAGGGCCAGGUCGAAACUGGAGGCUGGGGAGAGGUGCUCUGGUGGGGGGAGAGAAGGUGGCCCCCAAUCUGCUGGGUGGGAGGUGGAGACCAACCCAAGUUCCAUCUCAAUCUGCCUGUGAGCCCAGUGUCCCUGGACCAGUCAUGUCCCCCUUCUGAGCCUCAGUUUCCUCUUUUUAAACUGCAAUGACAACUGAACAACAAUGAAAAAGACAAGCAAUCCAAUUUAAAAAUGGGCAAAGGAUUUUAAUAGACAUUUCUCCAAAAAAAA